rnacentral:rRNA from 1 species
GGAAUAUUGGUCAAUGGCCGGAAGGCUGAACCAGCCAUGCCGCGUGAAGGUCAGUGCCCUAUGGGCGUUAAACUUCUUUUGUGCGGGAGCAAUAAGGUCCACGUGUGGGCCGACGAGAGUACCGUACGAAUAAGCAUCGGCUAACUCCGUGCCAGCAGCCGCGGUAAUACGGAGGAUGCGAGCGUUAUCCGGAUUUAUUGGGUUUAAAGGGUGCGUAGGCGGAUUCUUAAGUCAGCGGUAAAAUGUCCGGGCUCAACCCGGGCCGGCCGUUGAAACUGGGGGUCUUGAGUGGGCGAGAAGUAUGCGGAAUGCGUGGUGUAGCGGUGAAAUGCAUAGAUAUCACACAGAACACCGAUUGCGAAGGCAUCUCACGAAUCCGCGAUUGACGCUGAUGCACGAAAGCGUGGGUAUCAAACAGG